AUUCCAGGAAAAUUGUUUUUUUUUUCCGGAGAGUAUGACUUCGCUUCCAUGGGAUGAUGAUCGGAAAUCGAAAAGAGCGAAGGUUGAUGAUUGUGAUGCUGAUCUAGACGAGCUGGGUUUAUCUGAGUCUGAGUCUGAGUCUGAGGAUGAGUCUGAGGAUGACCUCGAUCCAGUGGACAAAUUGUGUAAGG